AGGAGAUAGAAAUAGAAAGGUUGAGUGAGGAAGAAGAAGAGGAUGAGAAAGAAAAAGAAGUGGUUGAAAAAAAAGAAAAAAAGAGAAAAUACGUGAAAAUAAAGAAGAAAGCAAGAAAAGAAAAAAAAAGAGAAAGUUGAAGAAAAAGAGGUUGAGAAAAAAAAAAGAAAAAAAACGUAUGAAAACCCCCUUCCUCAUCAAAAGAAGUAUCAUAGGGAGGAAAAGAAGUGUAACUGCUUAAGUGUAAGUGCUUUAUGGAAAUCUCCAAGAAAUUGAAGAUUAAAGUUCCUAUGAUUGAGACAUGGAAACAGGUGCUAGGUGUUAUCAACUUUAUGAAGAAAUUCAGUAGAAAGAGGAAAAAGAAAAGAAUAUCAAGUAAGGGGAAUAUUAAUACCUACUGAUGGGUGUUUGAGCAUCUAUUGAGGGAUGCUAGGUUGAUUAUGUAUUCACUGAAGAAUACAGAAGGUACACCUACUGAUGGGUGAUAGUAAGAUUUGCACUUACCAAUAAGUGCUAGAAAGGUUUGAGUUAGGCAUUAACGUUAAACAAGCACUACCUGGGAGGCAACCCAGUUGAUUGUUUAUCUUUAUUGUUAACUAUGUUUUAGUUUCAUUUUAUGACUUAUUUGUUGCAUAUGAGAGGGGAAUUGUAUAAAAAGUAAAAAUUGAGAGUUGAAAUCUUUUACCAAUAAGGAGUAUUGGUAAAUCCUGAAGAAUUGUUUUGAUGAUGUUGCAAGAAGUAUUAUUUGAAGAGAACAUUAGAAUUAUUUAAAAAGCAACUUGUAGAAUUUGGAUGUAGUAGGAAAAUCUUAAACCUUGUAUUUUUCACUAGAAUAAUCGAUUAUGGACAAG
rnacentral:lncRNA from 1 species